CCUCCCAUUCUGAGUCACUCAGGCGCACGAUGUGUGGAGGUGCAUGUUCCGCGAUGCAAACAUAUGAUGCGUUCUUUGUUUUAUCGGUUAUAUACCUCAACAGAAUGAAAGGAAAAGGAACACAGCUCAGCCAUUGCUUCGGAACUGCUGCACCUGACAUCCGCAAGGAGCUGAUGCGGGAGAUCGAGUCACAACGUCGUAGCCCCUCUGCAGCUGGAAGGCAUCCUCAUUGAUCAACGAGUCAAGGAAAGAGGAGAAGAUAUCAUCUGUGUAACAGUCGAUCCCAAUCCCUCCAUCUUCGCUGGUACCGUAAUCACCUCCUUCUUGGUUUCCUGUAGCACCAUCAAGUAGCUCGUUGUUCCGCCAUCCUUCAUCGUCAUCGUCGUCAUCAUGCUGAAGGUUCUGUCUGUCCGAAAAGCUUCUCUCGUUAUCUUGAACACCGAUGCCUCUGCGAUGAGUACCCUGAGCACGAAGGACGAUGGGAUCGAUGUUAAGGACUGUGCUAGGGUUAGGGUUAGUGUAGGACGGUGGUGCAAGAGGCUGUUGGAUCGCAUCAGGAGUGGAGGAGGCCAAGGGCUUGUGGGUGCGCGGAUCUAUGCCUUGGCUGAUGAGCUUCUUGCUGAGGUGGGUGUUCCAGUAGUUCUUGAUCUCGUUAUCAGUACGCCCAGGAAUCCUCCCAGCUAUCAAAGACCACCUGCAGUCGUCGAAACAACAAGAUCGGGUCAUAAACAUGAAGAGGAAACCCUAAGGAGCUGAUCCCAAAGAAGAAAAGAUCGAAAGGGGCGAUGGUGUCUGAUGACCGGUUGCCGAGGAGGCGGUGGAGGCGGAGGAUGAGAUCUUCCUCAUCGGGCGCGAUGGGACCAUGCUUGAUGGAGGGGCGGAGGUAGUUCAUCCAUCGGAGGCGACAGCUCUUGCCGCAGCGGCGGAGCCCAGCGCGCUUGGGCAGCGUACGCCACCGCCCCUCCCCCUCCCGCCGCACGAAGCUCGCCAGCACCUCGUCCUCCUCCGGCGUCCACGGGCCCCGCUUCAGACCCACUUUGCUGCAACACGGCGUCGGCCCUCCACGCCGCCUGCCCUCCACCUCCACCGCCGCCGUCGAUGACGAGCCUGGAGCUGAUGACUGUGAGGGGUUCCUCAUCUCUCUCUCUCUCUCUCUCUCUCUCUCUCUACCUUGUGUUCUGUCGUUUAGAUCUUUCUACUUACUCUCUAUCUCUCGCUCACUCGCUCGCUCUAUCCCUUUUCAUUCUUGUUGUCUUUGAGCUUUCUUUGGGCCAAAGUAUUAGCUUCAGGUGCAUGCCGACCAUAAUGGUGGGAGCCACGAUCCGUGCGGUCACCUGUAACGGUUACGACAGGAAGUGUAGUUGGCGACGAAGACCACUGGUUCAAAGGGCAGAUGCGACCUUUAGUGGGUGUGGGUCCCGUUGUUCCGGGACUAACCACUUGUGACCACGGGCCAAAUCAUGUCUAUAUGAAAACACCCGACGCUGAAACCUCGUCCCAACCAGUCCUUCUGGUCUCCGUCGCCACGCUUCUCAUCCUGGAACGCGGGGGCAUCAGAAGUCUUCACUGUCAGUCAAUUUUUCGAACACUCUGCAGGCAGAAAGACAUUGGAUAUUUCGGGUGGGCUUUCCUUCAUGACCCUGGGCCAAAGCAUUCUACAUGCAAGCCGUUCUUGGUAUCAGCAACAUCAACCUGGCACUACUCCUUGUUGCUCAUAUAGUCUGUUCGAGGCCCAUCCAUUCUGGACUUCAGAUAGUGCAAGUGCUGAGGCAGACGAUUUGGACUCAACACCUACCGUUGUCUGGUGUCCAUCGUCAUUGUCAAUGGAACCAUUCAAUGAAGUUGGAAACGCCAAGAGGACCGACUUCCUUCUGUGGUUGAUAUGCACAGGGAGAGAUGCAUCGUUUUGGCCACGUUUCCAGAGAAUCUAUGUGGAUGUCCAUGGAACCUGCGUGCAUCGGCGGAGCCACAUUUGCUUGGCUGAGCUAUCUGGACAUGUACGUGAAGCCAUAGUUUGGACACAUUAGUUGUUCUUGGCGACCCAUCGUGGUCAUCUUGCCAAUACAAAUUGCACGCCUGUUAACGUAGAGGGAGCGGCUCUCCUUCACUCUUUCUAGCAACGUUAUCUACGGCGAAGAACAAAGCACCUGCAGAUGCACAAACGUUGCUGAGCACCAAAAUACAUGUGAGCUACAUCAUCCAUCUAAGACAAUAAAAAAGGGUCUAUUUUCUUAA